GGGGAUUUAGCUCAGUGGUAGAGCGCUUGCCUAGCAAGCGCAAGGCCCUGUGUUCAGUCCCCA
rfam:Rattus norvegicus chromosome 8, whole genome shotgun sequence.